rnacentral:rRNA from 1 species
AUGGCGUUGGCGGAGGAGAAGACGUUCCUACUCGAGACCCUGGACGGCAUGAGUUUCGUGGUGUCGGAGCGGGAGGCGAGCCAAUCCGGAGAAAUCCAUUGCGACACCAUCUGCUACCGCGGCCGGCCCAUCGACGUCAACGUCCAAGGCAAAACACUCGCCAAGGCCUUGCACUACUGCAAGAAGCACGCCUACUCCGGCGGCCACGACCUCCGCGCCUGGGACGCCAAGUUCGUCGGCGACCUAGAUCUCGAGACACUAUACGAUCUCAUCCUGGUCAGCUUCAGCGAUUUAACUCUUCUGUCACACAAAAUCCUAUUAUCUACUCUAGUUUAUGAUGGUCUAGCCUAG